rnacentral:rRNA from 1 species
CCUACGGGUGGCAGCAGUGAGGAAUAUUGGUCAAUGGACGCAAGUCUGAACCAGCCAUGCCGCGUGCAGGAAGACGGCUCUAUGAGUUGUAAACUGCUUUUGUACGAGGGUAAACGCAGAUACGCGUAUCUGUCUGAAAGUAUCGUACGAAUAAGGAUCGGCUAACUCCGUGCCAGCAGCCGCGGUAAUACGGAGGAUCCAAGCGUUAUCCGGAUUUAUUGGGUUUAAAGGGUGCGUAGGCGGUUGGUUAAGUUAGAGGUGAAAUCCCGAGGCUCAACUUUGAAAUUGCCUUUGAUACUGGUCGUCUAGAGAGUAGUUGAGGUAGGCGGAAUGUAUGGUGUAGCGGUGAAAUGCUUAGAGAUCAUAAAGAACACCGAUUGCGAAGGCAGCUUACCAAGCUACUACUGACGUUGAGGCACGAAAGCGUGGGGAGCAAACAGGAUUAGAUACCCGAGUAGUC